CAAAUAUAUAGAUGGGCUCGGAUUUCUAAUCCGAAUCGGUUUCUUUUGGUUUUGGUUGGAAUGGGCUUUGAGACAUUGCACUUACCUGGUUGGAAUGGUUUUGGUUGGAAUGGGCCUUGAGACUCUCGGGAGAGAGAGGGAGAGAGACCAAAGGGAAUUCCUCCGGCGACCGGCGGCGAUUGGUAAGGAAGAGGGAGCGGAGACGGGACGGGAUGGACAAAGCCAAACCCGCGGCGGCGGCUCGUGGGAAGCUGGAGCUGGAAGAGGCGCUGCUCCAGAUCGUGCAUCGGCGCCACCACCAAUCCCUCCGCCAACGCCAACGAACUGAGAGAGCAAAGAAGGGUGCUUUGGGAAGCGCGGUGCGAGUCGCUGAUCUCCUCGUGAACACGGUCGACGGCGGGAUGCAGGAGCUCUUCGUCGACGAGAAGCGCAUUGAGCUUGAAGCACGCGUGCUGCUCGGUACAAUCGCGUGGUACAGGAAGCAGACUGACCAGUGGCUGGCUGCCACCAACGCAAUCAGCUCAGACUUGAAGGAAAUUGGAGAUUUCGAGAACUGGAUGAAGAUUAUGGAUUUUGACUGUAAAAGCAUUAAUGCAGCCAUACACAGCAUUCAUCAGUCAUGACUCUGCCUGCAAUCACAACAUUAGGAAGUAUUCAUUUCAUUCUAUGCUUUGAUUGGAAUUAUGCGAGCUGUAAAGUCCCUUGUAUAGAACUGUUUUACUGUGCAAAAUUGUAAUACUGAUCCUUGCAAUGCAUUCGUAUUAUGAGAACCAUCUCCGCUUCCUUCAAUUUCGAAGUGAGGAUAUGUGAUCGAAAUACACUAAUUUGUGGUGGUGUUAUUGUGCCAUUACCGUAACAAUUUUUAUCCUUGAUCUUGCAAGUUCAAGAUAGGUAGCUGAAACACUGAAAGGCCAUACCAAUUACUUCAUUAAAAACACCCUUCACCUCAUUUUAUUCCUUUGACAGAUAUGCUUUAAAAAGCAGUGGAUACAUCUUUCAAGAGGACUACAGCAUCAGGAAAGGGACACUUCUCCCUUCAAUGAAGAUGAUUACAAGAAUCGCGUGCUGCCACAGCGAGGAUGUCAGCGCAUGAUACCACCUGCGGGCAGAUUCUCUCAAGCUGUGCCUUGAUGCUGUCGAUCACAUCAAAUCCGCGCAGGGAGUUGUUGUUUGGAGCAGCGGUCUUC